rnacentral:rRNA from 1 species
CCUACGGGAGGCAGCAGUGGGGAAUAUUGCACAAUGGGGGAAACCCUGAUGCAGCGACGCCGCGUGAGUGAUGACGGCUUUCGGUAUGUAAAGCUCUGUCAGCAGGGACGAUAAUGACGGUACCUGAGGAAGAAGCCCCGGCUAACUACGUGCCAGCAGCCGCGGUAAUACGUAGGUGGCGAGCGUUGUCCGGAUUUACUGGGCGUAAAGGGAGCGUAGGCGGAAUUUUAAGUCGGAUGUGAAAUACCCGGGCUUAACCCGAGUGCUGCAUUUGAAACUGGAAGGCUAGAGUGCAGGAGAGGAGAAUGGAAUUCCUAGUGUAGCGGUGAAAUGCGUAGAGAUUAGGAAGAACACCAGUGGCGAAGGCGAUUCACUGGACUGUAACUGACGCUGAGGCUCGAAAGCGUGGGGAGCAAACAGGAUUAGAUACCCCUGUAGUC